ACCAGGCACAGUGGCUUGCCUGUAGUCUCACUACUUGGGAGGCUGAGGUGGGAGGAUUGCUUGAGCCCAAGAGUUCUGGGUUGUAAUGUGCUAUGCCAGUCAGGUGUCCGCCCUAAGUUUGGCAUCAAUAUGGUGACCUCCCAGGAGCAGGAGACCACCAGGUUGCCUAAGGAGGGGUGAACCAGCCCAGGUCAGAAACGGAGCAGGUCAAAACUCCUGUGCUGAUCAGUAGUGGGAUUGCACCUGUGAAUAGCCACUGCACUCCAGCCUGGGCAACAUAACGAGACCCCAUCUCU
rnacentral:SRP_RNA from 1 species